rnacentral:tRNA from 1 species
AGUCCUAUAGUUUAACAGGAUAAAACGGAGCUUCCAAAGCUUUGCUCCAGGUUCGAGUCCUGGUGGGACGGCCA